rnacentral:rRNA from 1 species
UAGGGAAUCUUCCGCAAUGGGCGAAAGCCUGACGGAGCAACGCCGCGUGAGUGAUGAAGGUCUUCGGAUCGUAAAACUCUGUUAUUAGGGAAGAACAAACGUGUAAGUAACUAUGCACGUCUUGACGGUACCUAAUCAGAAAGCCACGGCUAACUACGUGCCAGCAGCCGCGGUAAUACGUAGGUGGCAAGCGUUAUCCGGAAUUAUUGGGCGUAAAGCGCGCGUAGGCGGUUUUUUAAGUCUGAUGUGAAAGCCCACGGCUCAACCGUGGAGGGUAAUUGGAAACUGGAAAACUUGAGUGCAGAAGAGGAAAGUGGAAUUCCAUGUGUAACGGUGAAAUGCGCAGAGAUAUGGAGGAACACCAGUGGCGAAGGCGACUUUCUGGUCUGUAACUGACGCUGAUGUGCAAAAGCGUGGGGAUCAAACAGG